rnacentral:rRNA from 1 species
UUGAAAUACCACCCUUUAAUGUUUGAUGUUCUAACGUUGACCCGUAAUCCGGGUUGCGGACAGUGUCUGGUGGGUAGUUUGACUGGGGCGGUCUCCUCCUAAAGAGUAACGGAGGAGCACGAAGGUUGGCUAAUCCUGGUCGGACAUCAGGAGGUUAGUGCAAUGGCAUAAGCCAGCUUGACUGCGAGCGUGACGGCGCGAGCAGGUGCGAAAGCAGGUCAUAGUGAUCCGGUGGUUCUGAAUGGAAGGGCCAUCGCUCAACGGAUAAAAGGUACUCCGGGGAUAACAGGCUGAUACCGCCCAAGAGUUCAUAUCGACGGCGGUGUUUGGCACCUCGAUGUCGGCUCAUCACAUCCUGGGGCUGAAGUAGGUCCCAAGGGUAUGGCUGUUCGCCAUUUAAAGUGGUACGCGAGCUGGGUUUAGAACGUCGUGAGACAGUUCGGUCCCUAUCUGCCGUGGGCGCUGGAGAACUGAGGGGGGCUGCUCCUAGUACGAGAGGACCGGAGUGGACGCAUCACUGGUGUUCGGGUUGUCAUGCCAAUGGCACUGCCCGGUAGCUAAAUGCGGAAGAGAUAAGUGCUGAAAGCAUCUAAGCACGAAACUUGCCCCGAGAUGAGUUCUCCCUGACCCUUUAAGGGUCCUGAAGGAACGUUGAAGAC